CCCCGAUUCACGUCCCGUGUCGAACCCAAGCUUUCAAAGUAUGUACUAGUGAACUGGCUCCGUGAGGAGUGGCGAUCUCUGAAUCAGCUCCACAUCCACAUCCUCGGAAUCUCCAAGCUGAAAGCUUGGGAUUUGAAAUCGGAUCUGUGAUGGAUAGGAUAACUCAUCUGCCUGAACAUCUUCUUUUGAGGAUUUUGUCCUUUCUACCUACUACCAAAGAUGUUGUGACCACAAUGGUUUUGUCUAAACGGUGGCAGUUUCUAUGGAUGCAUGUGCCAAGACUUGUAUACGAUGAUGGCAAUAGUAAUAUCACGAAAGAGAGUUUUUCGAGGUUUGUAGACAGAUCCUUGCUUUUGCACGAGGCACCAGUACUAGAGUAUGUGCGUUUCAAGCUUAGUGAAAAGUCUAGUGAUGUUGAUAAUAUUGAGGAGUAUGGGCUAGAGCUGUAUCUAGGCGCCAUGUGCUUGAGCUGGUCAUCGAGAUUGAUAGAUAUCCUUGUACAGAUCCAGCCAUCCUUCCUAAAAGCUUGUACACGGUAUCCGGAAUGCUUGUGAAGUUGAAACUUGACAACGUGGUUCUUCCUGAUGUUGUUUCUUCACCCGUGUCUUUCCUAUCUCUCAUGGAAUUGAGUCUUAUAUCCAUCGAAUACCCAGGUGGCGAUGAAUAUGUCAAAAGUUUUUUAUCCAGUUGUCCUGUUCUUGAAGACUUGCAUGUGGACCGAUGUCUUGAAGACAAUGUUACUGUUUUCACCGUGAGAGUGCCUUCUCUAAAGACUUUAUAUAUGUGCGAUGGACCUUCCAAAAGAUAGCCACGCUGGAGAAGGGUUUGUGAUAGAUGCUCCUUCGUUGGAUACUUUGACUAUUGAUGAUUCUACUGGUGGGUUUUGUGUCUUUCAGAGUCAAAUGCCUCACCUUGUAACGGCAGAUAUUGACUUUUUUACUAUAGACACUCUGGCAAUAUUCUGAGUUCCAUAUCCCCAGUCAGGGUUCUCUAUCUACGUUUAUCAUCCUUAGAGGAUGCAUAUCCUAGUAGUGGUUGUAUCUUCCACCGCCUGGUAGAUUUUAAGCUCUGCAGAAGUGAGAGGCAGUGGCUGAACGUACUUAUGUGUGUGCUCAGAGAUUCUCCUAAAUUACGAACUCUCAAACUUGUUCAGCAGUAUGGCUAUCAAGCGGAUGAUCCGAACCCAUGUUGGAGUGAACCGAGCUUAGUUCCUGAAUGUUUGCUAUCGAGUCUUGAAACUCUCGAAUGUGAAAGCUAUGAAGGAAGAAAAAAAGAGAAAAAAGUGGUGGAAUAUAUAUUAAGAAACGGUCGAUGUUUAAGAAAGGUGACUAUCUCCUCUAGAUCCACCGACUCUAACAAGAAAAUUAAGGAGCUGGCAUUGUCGUUCAGGAGUUCACCUAUCUGCCAGGUUGUAUUCAACUGAAGCUAUAGUCAGACUGUCAGACAUAUCAAGUAACAUCGUGUUUGGUCAGACAUAUCAUAUAACGUUUUAUGUUUUCUCUCGCUAAGUAGAAAAACUAAUGGAACAUCAAAACUUUUUGCUUUUUUUUUAUUAUUGACUUUGCUGUUAGGCUAAACUGUACACUGUUUGGUUAAUUGAAACUUCAACAAA